GUAUGAGAGAGGUAAGGGAGAAGAGAGAGAGAGGUGAGAUACAAACAGUAUGAGAGAGGUAAGGGAGAGGAGAGAGAGGUGAGGUACAAACAGUAUGAGAGAGGUAAGGGAGAGGAGAGAGAGGUGAGGUACAAACAGUAUGAGAGAGGUAAGGGAGAGGAGAGAGAGGUGAGGUACAAACAGUAUGACAGAGGUAAAGGAGAGGAGAGAGAGGUGAGGUACAAACAGUAUGAGAGAGGUAAGGGAGAGGAGAGAGAGGUGAGGUACAAACAGUAUGAGAGAGAUAAGGGAGAGGAGAGAGAGGUGAGGUACAAACAGUAUGAGAGAGGUAAGGGAGAGGAGAGAGAGGUGAGGUACAAACAGUAUGAGAGAGGUAAGGGAGAGGAGAGAGAGGUAAGGUACAAACAGUAUGAGAGAGGUAAGGGAGAGGAGAGAGAGAGGUGAGAUACAAACAGUAUGAGAGAAGUAAGGGAGAGGAGAGAGAGGUGAGGUACAAACAGUAUGAGAGAGGUAAGGGAGAGGAAGAGAGAGGUGAGGUACAAACAGUAUGAGAGAGGUAAGGGAGAGGAAGAGAGAGGUGAGGUACAAACAGUAUGAGAGAGGUAAGGGAGAGGAGAGAGAGGUGAGGAACAAACAGUAUGAGAGAGGUAAGGGAGAGGAGAGAGAGAGGUGAGAUACAAACAGUAUGAGAGAGGUAAGGGAGAGGAGAGAGAGGUGAGGUACAAACAGUAUGAGAGAGGUAAGGGAGAGGAAGAGAGAGGUGAGGUACAAACAGUAUGAGAGAGGUAAGGGAGAGGAGAGAGAGGUGAGGAACUAACAGUAUGAGAGAGGUAAGGGAGAGGAGAGAGAGGUGAGGUACAAACAGUAUGAGAGAGGUAAGGGAGAGGAAGAGAGAGGUGAGGUACAAACAGUAUGAGAGAGGUAAGGGAGAGGAAGAGAGAGGUGAGGUACAAACAGUAUGAGAGAGGUAAGGGAGAGGAAGAGAGAGGUGAGGUACAAACAGUAUGAGAGAGAUAAGGGAGAGGAGAGAGAGCUGAGGUACAAACAGUAUGAGAGAGAUAAGGGAGAGGAGAGAGAGGUGAGGUACAAACAGUAUGAGAGAGGUAAGGGAGAGGAAGAGAGAGGUGAGGUACAAACAGUAUGAGAGAGGUAAGGGAGAGGAAGAGAGAGGUGAGGUACAAACAGUAUGAGAGAGGUAAGGGAGAGGAGAGAGAGGUGAGAUACAAACAGUAUGAGAGAGGUAAGGGAGAGGAGAGAGAGGUGAGGUACAAACAGUAUGAGAGAGGUAAGGGAGAGGAAGAGAGAGGUGAGGUACAAACAGUAUGAGAGAGGUAAGGGAGAGGAAGAGAGAGGUGAGGUACAAACAGUAUGAGAGAGGUAAGGGAGAGGAGAGAGAGGUGAGUUACAAACAGUAUGAGAGAGGUAAGGGAGAGGAGAGAGAGGUGAGAUACAAACAGUAUGAGAGAGGUAAGGGAGAGGAGAGAGAGGUGAGUUACAAACAGUAUGAGAGAGGUAAGGGAGAGGAGAGAGAGGUGAGAUACAAACAGUAUGAGAGAGGUAAGGGAGAGGAGAGAGAGGUGAGGUGCAAACAGUAUGAGAGAGGUAAGGGAGAGGAGAGAGAGGUGAGAUACAAACUGUAUGAGAGAGGUAAGGGAGAGGAGAGAGAGGUGAGGUACAAACAGUAUGAGAGAGGUAAGGGAGAGGAGAGAGAGGUGAGGUACAAGCAGUAUGAGAGAGGUAAUGGAGAGGAGAGAGAGGUGAGAUACAAACUGUAUGAGAGAGGUAAGGGAGAGGAAAGAGAGGUGAGGUACAAACAGUAUGAAAGAGAUAAGGGAGAGGAGAGAGAGGUGAGGUACAAACAGUAUGAGAGAGAUAAGGGAGAGGAGAGAGAGGUGAGGUACAAACAGUAUGAGAGAGGUAAAGGAGAGGAAGAGAGAGGUGAGAUACAAACAGUAUGAGAGAGGUAAAGGAGAGGAGAGAGAGGUGAGGUACAAACAGUAUGAGAAAGGUAAGGGAGAGGAGAGAGAGGUGAGGUAAAAACAGUAUGAGAGAGGUAAAGGAGAGGAGAGAGAGGUGAGGUACAAACAGUAUGAGAAAGGUAAGGGAGAGGAGAGAGAGGUGAGGUACAAACAGUAUGAGAGAGGUAAAGGAGAGGAAGAGAGAGGUGAGAUACAAACAGUAUGAGAGAGGUAAGGGAGAGGAGAGAGAGGUGAGGUACAAACAGUAUGAGAGAGAUAAGGGAGAGGAGAGAGAGGUGAGGUACAAACAGUAUGAGAGAGAUAAGGGAGAGGAGAGAGAGGUGAGGUACAAACAGUAUGAGAGAGAUAAGGGAGAGGAAGAGAGAGCUGAGGUACAAACAGUAUGAGAGAGGUAAGGGAGAGGAAGGGAGAGGUGAGGUAGAUACAGUAUGAGAGAGGUAAAGGAGAGGAGAGAGAGAGGUGAGAUACAAACAGUAUGAGAGAGGUAAGGGAGAGGAGAGAGAGGUGAGGUACAAACAGUAUGAGAGAGGUAAGGGAGAGGAGAGAGAGGUGAGAUACAAACAGUAUGAGAGAGAUAAGGGAGAGGAGAGAGAGGUGAGGUACAAACAGUAUGAGAGAGGUAAGAGAGAGGAGAGAGAGGUGAGGUACAAACAGUAUGAGAGAGGUAAGGGAGAGGAGAGAGAGGUGAGGUACAAACAGUUUGAGAGAGGUAAGGGAGAGGAGAGAGAGGUAAGGUACAAACAGUAUGAGAGAGGUAAGGAAGAGGAAGAGAGAGGUGAGAUACAAACAGUAUGAGAGAGGUAAAGGAGAGGAAGAGAGAGGUGAGGUACAAACAGUAUGAGAGAGGUAAGGGAGAGGAGAGAGAGGUGAGGUACAAACA